AUCCGGCUGACGAGUCCCGAAUAGAACGAAACACAUGUAUUGGAU
rnacentral:hammerhead_ribozyme from 1 species